GGACAGAGCAGAGAGGAGGGUAUGCGCCCUCAGUGUCAAAGGCGUGUUGGCCUUUGUAUGUUCCAGAGUGCCUCCUGCCCGCUGGCCCAUCCAUGGCACUACCAGGGAUCAGCAUGGCUGGAGGAUAAAAGAUAACAAUGCAGAUGGUUGAGUGUGACAUGAGAACAUACGGCCCUCUGGCCAAGAUGAAAUUUUGACGAUGGGGACUGUUGCUGACUUGUGCAAUAGGAGUAUUUUGGACUUUGCUGCUGAGGAAUGCUUUGCUGUUUCUGCCUGAUUCUGUGCACUGACUUAGCCUGUGAAUAAUGGCUCGAGGAACAUUGGCUCUUUGCCCUCCUACGUUGUUGUGUAGUACAUUAACAUGAGGGAGUCUUCUGAGAGAGAACUGCUGUUGUCUCCGGGGAAUAAUCGCUCUUGGUUGAGGUGCCCAGUCACUCUUUCGUAUUGUUGAUGAGCUGUGUCCCCAUGGAGAGAAUGAUGAAAGCGAGCUGCUGUUGCUGCUGUUAUAUUUCCACAAACCACGCUGACACUUCUUCCUUCCACCAUCACAUGACUCAGUUGCCUUUUUCAAGUCGCCCAAAAAGCGCAUGAUGGCAAUGGCCGAAUGUGGGGUGUGGGAAAUUCUGGGUCCCUGGGGAGAAAUUGGCCAUGGCCCGCCGUCAGGCUUGCGUGCUCUGACAUGAAGGUGCUGAACAGAAUGUCGUCCACCAUGCAGGGCGAUGGCAUCUUAGGAGUCAUUAGGGAUGCUGAAUUUCUGGAUGGGAGUUGGGCUGGAGCUUUAGCCAAGCGUUUGCAUGUGAGCUGUCGGCACUCUUCCGCUGAGUACACUCUGCACAUUGGUAGGAAGAGGAGAGUCACUGGGCCCUGUCCAUGAACAGUAGAUGAGGCCGUGGACAUUUAGAUCCUCAUGGGUGUGUGCCGAUAAGGCUGGAUGUCCAGGAACGUGCCUGGCGAGCUCUCCAGGCUGGAGGAUUUUGCCCUCCUAUUCUUCAUUGCUGAAUAGGACAGCAUGUAGUCAGUGGCUCUGGCUGUCCCUUCCCCUGUUUCUGUGAGAAGUGGGUGCUGUCCACAACGGUGAGGGGCGUCGGCACAGGGUUGGGUGCUGCAGCUAUGGAGGGGCAAGAGGGUGAGGACAGUCGCAAUUAGAGGAGAGGAGACCCCCUCUGUGUUUCCUAUUUCAGGCUUUUGAUUUCUCCGCAUUGGUGAAGUCUGGGGCUGGCACAGAAGUACCUAGCGGAGAUAUGACGACACUCUGAGGGUAGGAGGAAAACUUGAGAGUGUGGAGGACAAGGGACUUUGGUGCGACAGUCGUGAAGGGCAUGGUGGGCGCAGGGCUGUGUCUCGUGUCCCCUAUGUGCCUUCUCCCACACCACCUUAGGGUCAGCAUAGCGGUGGGACAGGAGGUCACAGUGGACACUGAUGGACAUGCUGUGAGAAAAUAUGGCUCCCUUGUCAAGUUAAGACGUUUAUUCUGCCAACAGGGUUUUACUUUCCAUUUUCCCAGGGAACUGAGUGUUUGUCUGCAGGUGGAGUCAGAGGCUUGAUCUCUGUGUGUUGUGACACACAGCAGGUGACAUGACACUUGGUAGGAGGAGAGGACUCAGAUGGUUGUCUCUGGUGAAUAAUCGCUCUUGGUAGAGGUGCCCAGUCACUCUUUCGUGCUGUUGAUGAGUUGUGUCCCCAUGGAGAGAAUGAUGAAAGCGAGCUGCUGUUGCUGCUGUGAUAUUUCCACAGACCACGCAGACACUUCUUCCUUCCACCAUCACAUGACUCAAUUGCCUUUUUCAAGUCCCUCAAAAAGCGCAUGCCGGCAAUGGCCGAAUGUGGGGUGUGGGAAAUUCUGGGUCCCUGGGGAGAAAUUGGCCGUGGCCCGCCGUCAGGCUUGCGUGCUGUGACAUGAAGGUGCUGAACAGAAUGUCGUCCACCCUGCAGGGCGAUGGCAUCUUAGGAGUCAUUAGGGAUGCUGAAUUUCUGGAUGGGAGUUGGGCUGGAGCUUUAGCCAAGCGUUUGCAUGUGAGCUGUCGGCACUCUUCCGCUGAGUACACUCUGCACAUUGGUAGGAAGAGGAGAGUCACUGGGCCCUGUCCAUGAACAGUAGAUGAGGCCGUGGACAUUUAGAUCCUCAUGGAUGUGCGCAGAUGAGCCUGGAUAUCCAGGGAUGUGCCUGGUGAGCUCUCCAGGCUGGAGGAUUUUGCCCACCUAUUCUUCAUUGCUGAAUAGGACAGCAUGUAGUCAGUGGCUCUGGCUGUCCCUUCCCCUGUUUCUGUGAGAAGGUUUUGCUGCUUGGUGGUCUGCCCCUCUGCCCUUCUGGUCCUCUCACAGGGGUGGUGAUGUUGCCUUGAGGGGACCUUGUGUGCACUCUCAGGGAAGUGGGUGCUGUCCACAACGGUGAGGGGCGUCGGCACAGUGUUGGAUGCUGCAGCUAUGGAGGGGCAAGCGGAUGUGGACAGUUGCAGUUUGAGAAGAGGACGCCUCCUCUGGUUUUCCUAUAUUUCGCUGUUGAUUUCUCUCCAUUGCUGAAGUCUGAGGCGGGCACAUAAGUGCCGAGUGGAGAUAUAAGCACACUGUGAGAGUAGAAUGAAAAAUUGAGAGUGUGAAGGAAAAGGGACUUUGGUGUGACAGCUGUGAUGGGCAUCGUGGGUUCAGGGCUGUGUCUCGUGUCCCCUACAUACAUUCUCCCGCACUACCUUUGGGUCAUCUUAUCCGUGGGCCAGAAGGUCACAGUGGACACUGAUGGACGUGAUAUGAGAUAAUAUGGCUCCCUUGUCAAGUUAAGAUGUUUAUUGUGGUGACAACUGUCAUUUUCCGUUUUCCCAGCGAACUGAGUUUGUCUGCAGGUGAAGUCAGAGGGUUGAUCUCUGUGUGUUGUGACACACAAGAGGUGACAUGACACUUGGUAGGAGGAGAGGACUCUGAUCCUGUUUUAUGGCUAGUUCGUGUGCUGUCCUCUCAAAAGGGUGGAAAGAAUGUGCAAAUGUGGGCACUCCCAUACCAUUUGAAUGAUCUCCUCUAGACCCCGCGGGAUUCGAGUUUGCCCUCUCAGUCCAUCGUGCUGACUCCAGGAGCACAGUGUGUGGAUUCCCGAGGGUGGCCGGUCGGGCCAGCUCCACGUUGAUAUUUGCCUUGGCCUUCUGAGCUUCCCUUGCCUCUCCUUCUUCAUGCGCAGACCUAGCGUGCUGCUGCUUCUCCACUUCAGAGAACAGCCGUGGGCGCUGUGCAGUGAAUCCUGGGGGGAGUCACUGCCUUUCUCAGUGUCCCCCAGCAGUCAGACACAGCGGCCUUCCAGAGUGCCGAAAGGCCCGUGGUCGAGCCAGCUCUCGGAUCAACUGGGGGACUGUUGUCGUGGGGGCGUUGCUGAGCUGCCGUGUGUGAAAUAUGGUUAAAGCCGGGGACCACGCAGCUGGGCCACUUCUCCAGAGCCCAGGAGAGAUGGGCUGGGUACUGAAAGAUUUGCUACGUGUGUCCAUUCUAUGUUGUCUUCUUAUUACACAAAAUAAUAAUAAUGGUAAUUAUUAUUAUUAUUAUUAUUAUUAGAGGGUGGAAGGAAACUUUGGAGGGGAUGGGUCUGUUCAUGGCACAGGUUUUGGUAAUGGUUCACAGAUGUCUACCUAUUUCCACAGUCUUUAAAUCAUAUACAUUAAAUAUGUACAGCUCUUUUGGGUCAUUCUUUCCUUCAUCCCUCAAGAAAGUGGUUUCAGAAAAUAAUAUUAAAGGCCCACCCGUGACUACAGAUGAGCGCUCCCUCCAAAAUGUCUUUAGCUUUAGGACUGAAGGGAAGACUGCUUCUCCAUGGUUAAAGGGGUAACAGCGUUGACUGCGUGUGGAUUCUUUUGGGCCUUGGACUUUCCACUUAUAUGGAGCCUUAGCAUUGGCCGUGUGUAAGGAUAACUUUUAGUCCACAGGGUGUUGACUUUCCUAGACUCACAGCGGUUCUCCAGAACCCAUGAACUUCACCUGAAGGACUUCGACUCAGAGAUGGGGCCUGUGACAUCAGCUACUUGUCAUGUGACCAGAAAUUGAUGUCGGGGUACUGUGACUUUGGCAUUAGGUUGGACUUUGGGUUGUUUUCCUUGUUUACAACGUGUGCUUUUGUGCUUACUCAAGAAAUCUUUUGAAAUACUGUACAUGUGGAGACGUGUCCAGAUGUGUCUGUCCUGUCCGUGUAUUCUACAGGGUGACCGCCGAGGUCUCAGGCUGAGUAGCCUUUCCA
rnacentral:lncRNA from 1 species